UACAGAGGUCUCAAGCGUUGUUCGGAUUCAUUGGGCGUAAAGGGUGCGUAGGUGGCGCCCGUAAGUCAGGUGUGAAAUCCCGGGGCUCAACCCCGGAACUGCACUUGAUACUGCGGUGCUCGAGUACUGGAGAGGAGAUUGGAAUUUACGGUGUAGCAGUGAAAUGCGUAGAUAUCGUAAGGAAGACCAGUGGCGAAGGCGAAUCUCUGGACAGUUACUGACACUGAGGCACGAAGGCCAGGGGAGCAAACGGG
rnacentral:rRNA from 1 species